GGGGGUGUAGCUCAAUGUUAGAGCACUUGCCUAGCAUGCACAAGACCCUGAGUUCAAUCCCCAGUACCACAA
rnacentral:tRNA from 1 species